rnacentral:rRNA from 1 species
UACGUAGGGUGCGAGCGUUAAUCGGAAUACUGGGCGUAAAGCGUGCGCAGGCGGUUAUGUAAGACAGUUGUGAAAUCCCCGGGCUCAACCUGGGAAUUGCAUCUGUGACUGCAUAGCUAGAGUACGGUAGAGGGGGAUGGAAUUCCGCGUGUAGCAGUGAAAUGCGUAGAUAUGCGGAGGAACACCGAUGGCGAAGGCAAUCCCCUGGACCUGUACUGACGCUCAUGCACGAAAGCGUGGGGAGCAAACGAGG